GCCAGGAUGUUGGCUUAGAAGCAGCCAUCAUUUAAAGAAAGCGUAAUAGCUCACUGGUCGAGUCGGCCUGCGCGGAAGAUGUAACGGGGCUAAACCAUGCACCGAAGCUGCGGCAGCGACACUAUGUGUUGUUGGGUAGGGGAGCGUUCUGUAAGCCUGCGAAGGUGUCCUGUGAGGGUUGCUGGAGGUAUCAGAAGUGCGAAUGCUGACAUAAGUAACGAUAAUGCGGGUGAAAAGCCCGCUCGCCGGAAGACCAAGGGUUCCUGUCCAACGUUAAUCGGGGCAGGGUGAGUCGACCCCUAAGGCGAGGCCGAAAGGCGUAGUCGAUGGGAAACAGGUUAAUAUUCCUGUACUUGGUGUUACUGCGAAGGGGGGACGGAGAAGGCUAUGUUAGCCGGGCGACGGUUGUCCCGGUUUAAGCAUGUAGGCGGAGGUUCCAGGUAAAUCCGGUACCUUUUUAACGCUGAGGUGUGAUGACGAGGCACUACGGUGCUGAAGUAACAAAUGCCCUGCUUCCAGGAAAAGCCUCUAAGCAUCAGGUAACAUCAAAUCGUACCCCAAACCGACACAGGUGGUCAGGUAGAGAAUACCAAGGCGCUUGAGAGAACUCGGGUGAAGGAACUAGGCAAAAUGGUGCCGUAACUUCGGGAGAAGGCACGCUGAUAUGUAGGUGAAGCCCCUGCGGGUGGAGCUGAAAUCAGUCGAAGAUACCAGCUGGCUGCAACUGUUUAUUAAAAACACAGCACUGUGCAAACACGAAAGUGGACGUAUACGGUGUGACGCCUGCCCGGUGCCGGAAGGUUAAUUGAUGGGGUUAGCGGCAACGCGAAGCUCUUGAUCGAAGCCCCGGUAAACGGCGGCCGUAACUAUAACGGUCCUAAGGUAGCGAAAUUCCUUGUCGGGUAAGUUCCGACCUGCACGAAUGGCGUAAUGAUGGCCAGGCUGUCUCCACCCGAGACUCAGUGAAAUUGAACUCGCUGUGAAGAUGCAGUGUACCCGCGGCAAGACGGAAAGACCCCGUGAACCUUUACUAUAGCUUGACACUGAACACUGGUCCUUGAUGUGUAGGAUAGGUGGGAGGCUUUGAAGCGUGGACGCCAGUCUGCGUGGAGCCGCCCUUGAAAUACCACCCUUUAAUGGCUGGUGUUCUAACGUAGACCCGUAAUCCGGGUUGCGGACAGUGUCUGGUGGGUAGUUUGACUGGGGCGGUCUCCUCCCAAAGAGUAACGGAGGAGCACG
rnacentral:rRNA from 1 species